GGAGUCUGGGCCGUGUCUCAGUCCCAAUGUGGCCGUUCAACCUCUCAGUCCGGCUACCGAUCGUCGCCUUGGUGGGCCGUUACCCCGCCAACAAGCUAAUCGGACGCGAGUCCAUCAAUGAGCGAUAAAAUCUUUGGUAUCAAAGUCAUGCGGCUUCGAUACGUUAUGCGGUAUUAGCGUCCUUUUCAGAACGUUAUUCCACUCUCAUCGGCAGGUUACUCACGCGUUACUCACCCGUCCGCCACUAAGAUAUUCCAAAAUCCAAUCGAAACCUUCAUUCGAAAUAUCUCCGUUCGACUUGCAUGUGUUAGGCACGCCGCCAGCGUUCGUCCUCGAGCCAUGAUCAAACUACU
rnacentral:rRNA from 1 species